rnacentral:rRNA from 1 species
UACAGAGGGGGCGGAGCGUUGUUCGGAAUUACUGGGCGUAAAGGGCGCGAGUAGGCGGCCUGCUAAGUCAGACGUGAAAUCCCUCAGCUUAACUGGGGAACUGCGUCUGAUACUGGAUGGCUUGAGUUUGGGAGAGGGAUGCGGAAUUCCAGGUGUAGCGGUGAAAUGCGUAGAUAUCUGGAGGAACACCGGUGGCGAAGGCGGCGAUCCUAGGACCAACACUGGACACUGAGGAGCGAAAGCCAGGGGAGACAAAACGGGUUAGAAAC